rnacentral:rRNA from 1 species
UACGGGGGGGGCAAGCGUUGUUCGGAAUUACUGGGCGUAAAGGGCUCGUAGGCGGCCAACUAAGUCAGACGUGAAAUCCCUCGGCUUAACCGGGGAACUGCGUCUGAUACUGGAUGGCUAGAGGUUGGGAGAGGGAUGCGGAAUUCCAGGUGUAGCGGUGAAAUGCGUAGAUAUCUGGAGGAACACCGGUGGCGAAGGCGGCAUCCUGGACCAACACUGACACUGAUGAGCGAAAGCCAGGGGAGCAAACGGG